AGUUACUUAGAAAGAUGAAUUAUCAAUAUACAUCUUUCAAGGAGGGACUAUGUUUUUCCUUGAAGGGAAUUUGAAUAAAGAUAAAAUUGAUUAAAAAUAAAAUCUAAAUUAUAGAAAAAAUAAUGAUAAUCUAUAAUAAUAGUCUUAACCAAAAAUAGUGCCAGCAGUUGCGGUUACACUAUGAAGGCUAACGUUAAUCAUUAAGGCUUAAAGGAUCCGUAGAACGAUAUAUAAUUUCCUAAUAAACUGAGAUUUUAACUUAAAGUUAAAAAGUGAGGAGGAAAUAAAUAAAAAUAUAUUAGAGUUUUAAGUAUGAUUAAAGAAUAAUUAUAGUAAAGAUGAAAUAAUUAUGAUAAUAAUUAGACUGUUAAAGGUGAAAACAUUAAUCAAAAAUAAAACUGACGUUGAGGGAUGAAGGCAUAAGUAGCAAAACGGAUUCGAUACCCGAUUAGUUUAUGCAGUAAACGAUGAAUACUUCUAUAAAUAAAAUUUGUAGUAAGUGAAAACGUAAGUAUUCCGCCUGGUGAGUAUAUUCGCAAGGAUGAAAUCCAAGACAAUAGACGGUUACAGAUAAAGGCAGUGGAUUGUGUUAUUUAAU
rnacentral:rRNA from 1 species